AUUUGGUGGAUAUCUCGGCUUGGGCACCGAAGAAGAGCGUGACAAGCUGCGAUAAGCUCGGGUUAGUCGCAUGUAGACGUAGACCCCGAGAUUCUUCAAUAGGACAUCCGCUUGCGGCUCAAUAAUCCGCAAGAUUCUCCUGUGAGAAGGGGAACCCUGAGAAGUAAAACAUUUUAGUAUCAGGAGGAAAAGAAAACAAAAGUGAUUCCGUAAGUAACGGCGAGCGAAAGCGGAACAGAUCAAACCGAAUCCCCAGAGAAAUCUGGUGGAAAUGUGGUGUGUGGGCCUAGUACGACCUCACUAAAGAAGGUGAAUAUUUCUGAAAUGUCAAGCCAUAGAGCGUGAUAGCCGCGUAACCAUAAUUUAGAAGGUUGCUGCAAGUGUCCCCGAGUAGUGCGGGAUAGUUUUCUCGUAUGAAAAUACCAGAUACAUACUGGUAAAUCUAAAUAUGUCCCAAGACCGAUAGUGCAAUAGUAGCGUGAGCGAAAGAUGAAAAGUAACCCGGAAGGGCCGUGAAAAGUGCUUGAAACCAAAUAGUUUAGUAAGGAAGCGGCGUGAAAGGAGAGAUUCUGCACGAAUGAGUUCCGGUGACGGAAUAUCAUAAUGCAGAGGACUAUCGUCGCUUCAUCAGUCUGGAAUCAUUGGCCAGGGAGUUUACAGUAGUGGCGAGCUUAAGUGGAUCACUCCACGGAGGCAUAGGGAAACCAAUAUUCCUGCAACCUAAUUAUCACAUUAUGCUGACCUACUCGUUUGCGAACGGUUUUGCCGUUUUAAAAACGCUUAGUAAGGCUUUCUAAGGGAUUAGGCCAGAGGAACGGUCUUCAAGGGCCUAAAGUCUCUGCUGUAAUACCCGAAGCCGGUCGAUCUAUUCCUGGUUAAGAUGAAGUCGUUCGAAAGGACGAUGGAGGUCUGCACCAGUGCUGACGUGCAAUUCGCUUGGAUGAACUGGGAAUAGGAGCAAAAGGCUAAUCUAGAUCGGUAAUAGCUGGUUCCUCCCGAAGUUGGUCUCAGCCAAGUCUCAGACGAAGUCGCCAGUGGGGUAGAGCACUAAUAGGGAAGUACGGAGGAGAAAUCCUUCGCUUGCCUCUUAAACUCCGAAACUGCUGGCACUAAAGACUCUGGGAAACGGGUUGGUGGGCGUAAAGUCCAUCGCCGAGAAGGGAACAACCUAGACUUGGGUUAAGGUCCCUAAGUGCAGGUUAAGUGUUAAACUAAAGGGCGUUAUAUUUCGAAGACAGCAAAAGGAUAGGUAUAGAAGUAGCCACUCCCUAACGAGUGUGUAACAACUCAUUUGCCGAGAAAUAUAGCCCCGAAAAUGGACGGGGCUCAAAUCUGCCACCGAGACCCAAGGGCACGGAAAGAAGAAUUCCGUGAUCCGGUAGGGAGGCGUCCGGGUGGGACAGAAGCAGGUGCGUGAGUUCCUGUGGACCGACCUGGAGCGCAGAUCCUGGUAAUAGUAAAAGCAAAGAUGGGUUAGAAUCCCAUCCGCCGAAAGGGCAAGGGUUUCUUCGCAAUGCGUCGUCAGCGAAGAGUUAGUCGAUCCUAAGCGCAUCCUUAACUGGCGUGCGCGAAAGGGAAACAGGUUUAUAUUCCUGUACCACGGCACUACGCUUGCGGUGACGCAUGGCUUCAUGCAGACGGUUCCGGGGAAGCGGAAUAGGGCUGUCGAAUAUCUCCCUAUUUAAAUGUAUACAGCUGGUGAAUAGAGUAAAUCUUAGACCCAGCUUAAACCAUGAAUAGCCAUCCAAAUGUGGAAGGUUCCGCUGUGCCCAGGACUUAAUAAAAACGCAGAAGCAAGAAAUGCCGUGAUCGUACCCAGAACCGACACAGGUGCCCCUAGGUGAGCAGCCUUAGGCGUGUUCGUGUAAAGGAGGCUAGGGAAAUCGACAAAUUAGAGCCGUAACUUUGGGAUAAGGCUUGCUUGCGAACUUCCACACGCAUUAGUGUGCGGGGGCUCUCAAGUCGCAGUAACUAGGGGGGGACGACUGUUUAAUAAAAACAUAGGUCUCUGAUAGAGCGAAAGCUUUCUUACAGAGGCUGAAACCUGGCCAGUAGCAGUCAGAUAAACACGGGUUACAACCCGAAUAAGUCCUGCUAAACGCCGGGAGUAACUAUAACUCUCUUAAGGUAGCCAUAUGCCUUGUCUGGUAAGUUCAGACGUGCAUGAAUGGUCCAACGUUCUCCCUAUUGUCCCAGCCUUCUGACGAUUGAAAUUACACUCCGGCGAACGGUCCGGAGAUACCUGGUGGGACGAGAAGACCCCGUGGAGUUUUACUGCAACUUGUUGUUGCGGAUUGGGAUGGAAUGCAGAGUGUAGUCGGGAGCGUAGAUCCCCUAAUUUCGGUUAGGGAGGAGCACACUUGGAAUACCGGCCUUCCCAUUCUGAUCCGCUAACGGCGCAAAAACGUGUCGGACAUCAGCAGGCGGGCAGUUUGGCUGGGGCGGCUCACUCCAGAAAAGAUAUCUGGAGUAACCAAAGGUCAGCUCAAGCGGGUCAGGAAUCCGCUGUAGAGUUUAAGAGCAAAAGCUGGCCUGACUGGGUUCUGACAACCAAGGAACCCUGAGGCUAACGCCGGGUCUAGCGAUCGUUAGGUAGCCUUAUGUGGGCACUUGACGUGAUAGAAAAAUUACCCCGGGGGUAACAGAGUUGUCACGAGUGAGAGUUCAUAUCGACCUCGUGGCUUGCUUCCUCGAUGUCGGCUCUUCCUAUCCUGGAAGCGCACCUAACUUCCAAGGGUGGGGCUGUACGCCCAUUAAAAGGGAACGUGAGCUGGGUUUAGACCGUCGUGAGACAGGUCGGAUUCUAUCUACCAGGUACGUGGGAGGACUGAGGGUAACGGAAAAUCAGUACGAGAGGAACAUUUUGCGGGCGCCGCUGGUGUACCGGUUGUCUGACAAGGCAUCGCCGGGUAGCUACGCGCCAACGGAUAAGUGCUGAAAGCAUCUAAGCACGAAGCCGGACCCGAAAAGAGUCCUCCAAUCUCAUUUCAGAGCGAUAAGAA
rnacentral:rRNA from 1 species